AGAGUUUGAUCCUGGCUCAGGAUGAACGCUAGCGACAGGCUUAACACAUGCAAGUCGAGGGGCAGCAGGGGCGUAGCAAUAUGCCUGCCGGCGACCGGCGCACGGGUGAGUAACACGUAUGUAACCUGCCCUAUGCAGGGGGAUAACCCGGAGAAAUCCGGCCUAAUACCGCGUAACACCUUAGGGGAGCAUUCUCUUGAGGUUAAAGGAGAGAUCCGGCAUAGGAUGGACAUGCGUCGCAUUAGGUAGACGGCGGGGUAACGGCCCACCGUGCCGACGAUGCGUAGGGGUUCUGAGAGGAAGGCCCCCCACACUGGUACUGAGACACGGACCAGACUCCUACGGGAGGCAGCAGUGAGGAAUAUUGGUCAAUGGCCGAGAGGCUGAACCAGCCAAGUCGCGUGAGGGAAGAAUGUCCUAAGGAUUGUAAACCUCUUUUGUCGGGGAGCAAAAAGGCUCUGCGGAGUCGUAUUGAGAGUACCCGAAGAAAAAGCAUCGGCUAACUCCGUGCCAGCAGCCGCGGUAAUACGGAGGAUGCGAGCGUUAUCCGGAUUUAUUGGGUUUAAAGGGUGCGCAGGCGGCGUGUCAAGCAAGCGGUAAAAUAGCGGGGCUCAACCCCGUCGAGCCGUUUGAACUGGCGCGCUUGAGUUCAGGCGAGGUAGGCGGAAUUCGUGGUGUAGCGGUGAAAUGCAUAGAUAUCACGAAGAACUCCGAUUGCGAAGGCAGCUUACCAGUCUGCGACUGACGCUCAGGCACGAAAGUGUGGGUAUCGAACAGGAUUAGAUACCCUGGUAGUCCACACAGUAAACGAUGAGCGCUAGGUGUCCGGGUCGCAUGAGACUUGGGUGCCCGAGCGAAAGCGUUAAGCGCUCCACCUGGGGAGUACGCCGGCAACGGUGAAACUCAAAGGAAUUGACGGGGGCCCGCACAAGCGGAGGAACAUGUGGUUUAAUUCGAUGAUACGCGAGGAACCUUACCCGGGCUCAAACGACUCAGGAAUAUAUUGGAAACGAUGUAGCCAGCAAUGGUCUGAGUCGAGGUGCUGCAUGGUUGUCGUCAGCUCGCGCCGUGAGGUGUCGGCUUAAGUGCCAUAACGAGCGCAACCCCUACCGCCAGUUGCCAACGGGUAAAGCCGGGAACUCUGGCGGGACUGCCGGCGCAAGCUGUGAGGAAGGCGGGGAUGACGUCAAAUCAGCACGGCCCUUACGUCCGGGGCGACACACGUGUUACAAUGGCAGGUACAGCGGGAAGCCACCUGGUGACAGGGAGCGGAACCCGAAAGCCUGUCUCAGUUCGGAUUGGAGUCUGCAACUCGACUCCAUGAAGCUGGAUUCGCUAGUAAUCGCGCAUCAGCCAUGGCGCGGUGAAUACGUUCCCGGGCCUUGUACUCACCGCCCGUCAAG
rnacentral:rRNA from 1 species